UAUUAGUAAGCGGAGAAAGAAACAACCGUGAUUCCCUUAGUAGCGGCGAGCGAACAGGGAAUAGCCCACGCUGAAUCUCUGAUCAUUAAUAUGAGCAGCGAAUAGUAGCGUAUGGGUAAUAAAUCUACUAAGUAUUAUGUUUACCAGUAAAGUUGUCUGGAACGGCAUGCCAAGGAGGGUGAUAGCCCCGUACCUGGCAUAAUACUUAGCAAGGCUAAUUACUCGAGAGUAGGACUGUUUGAGAAUGCAGUCUGAAAUGGGUGGUGAACUCCACCUAAGGCUAAAUACGGACACGAGACCGAUAGCACAAAAGUACCGUAAGGGAAAGGUGAAAAAGCACUCUGAAAAGAGAGUUAAAAGUGCUUGAAACCAACCGGGGGAAAAGGCUGAAGCAAUACCUCGUUACCGUUCAUCUCAUUAAGAUCAACAAGUCUCUAGUAGUCAUUCUACAUUUCAGGUAUGAAUGAUCUAGAGUAAGUUCUUAAGAGAUGAUACGCUACGUGCGAGGCUAUGUAGCUCUAUUAACGCUAAUCAAUGGCUGUAGAAUUGAUACCUCUAUAAACUUGGUUAGUUGGGCUAAGAGUAAUAGAGCUGCAUAUGCAGUGACUAAGGGAUACAACGCAUUAACUAGAGUACUUUCGAUUGUUUCUAGUUUUCUAUGUGUAGAUUAUUUCUAACCAUUUAUUAUAUGAUAUUCAAAUGUAGUUUUGUAUGAUUAGUCAAUGCACUCGUGGUAUUGAUUAAUUGUAGGAAAGUAUAUUUAAUGUUGUUAGUUAUGGUAUAAUAAUCUAGUAUCACCAGUUCUCGUGCGAGAUGGUAGCUUCAGUCCCGUCUUGAAACACGGACCAAGGAGACCUACUGCUACGCAAGUCGAAGGGUGAAAAACCCAGAGGCGAAGCGAAAGCGAAAGGUGCCAACUGUUCAUUAUCGGAAUAGUGCAGCACCGGCCUUCAUUUUUAUCCAUCUCGUAUGAUAAAAUGAUGAGCUAGAGCGUAGCGGCAAGAACCCGAAAGAUGGUGAGCUAUGCCUGAGCAGGAUGAAGCCAGGAGAAAUCCUGGUGGAGGUCCGUAGCGAUUCUGACGUGCAAAUCGAUCGUUAGACUCAGGUAUAAGGGCGAUAGACCAAUCGAACCAUCUAGUAGCUGGUUCCCUCCGAAAUAUCCCUCAGGAUCGCGGACAUCAUAUCGAUUGAUCAGUUUCAUUACGUAGGGAGAAUGAUUGGAGGUUUCGGGAACGCAAUGUUCUCGGCCUACUCUCAAACUUCGAAGUGGUGACACGAAUAUGUUUCGGGCGUAAAAUCAUUUAACUCUACAAAUCGUUAGUGAGUGAGUUUAGUGAGCAUAUUCGGGAAUGAUCGAUGUCCAGUGGGCCAUUUUUGGUAAGCAGAACUGGCGAUCCGGGAUGAACCGAAAGUCGAGUUAAGGUGCCCAACUGAGAUUUAAUUGAUACCAUUAAAGGUGUCGGUCAAUGUAGACAGCAGGGCGGUGGCCAUGGAAGUCGGCAUCCGCUAAGGAGUGUGUAUUAACUCACCUGCCCAAUUGACCGGUCCUGAAAAUGGAUGGCGCUUAAUAUUUCGACCGAUACUCGGCCGUUUGAGGUGACUACUUAAACGGGUAGGGGGGCACAACGGUAGCUGAGAAGGAUCAACGUGAGUUGGUCUGGAGCUGCCGUUGGAGCUGAUCUUGGUGGUAGUAGCAACUAUUCGGGUGGGAACCUCGAAGUCCGAGGUGGAGACGGGUUCCAUGUCAAUUGUAGUAAGACAUGGGUUAGUCGGUCCUAAGUGACUCCCGAAGGGGUUUAAAGACAGGCAUCGAGUUUAAACUGUCGGUCACGAAAGGGAACCAGGUUAAUAUUCCUGGACCAGAUAUCGGAAUUUUGGCUAGUUGUCCAAUAUCUAGAACAUUUAAUGAGUUAAUCUUCAUUAAAUGUUUUUGGUGUAGGUUUGUAGAUUGGGAAACUGAUCUACUUUUAAAACAAUAUGUCAAUAAGCGGUAACGCGACCGAACUGAGCGAUGUCGGACGUAGCCAGAGGAAGAGUUUUCUUUUCUUCAUAACGAACUAAUGACCAUGGAAUCGGGUAACGG
rnacentral:rRNA from 1 species